CAGCAGCACGGUAAUACGGAGGGUGCAAGCGUUAUCCGGAUUCACUGGGUUUAAAGGGUGCGUAGGCGGAUCCGUAAGUCAGUGGUGAAAUCUCCAGGCUUAACCUGGAAACUGCCGUUGAUACUAUAGGUCUUGAAUUUUGUGGAGGUUAGCGGAAUAUGUCAUGUAGCGGUGAAAUGCAUAGAUAUGACAUAGAACACCAAUUGCGAAGGCAGCUGGCUACACAACUAUUGACGCUGAGGCACGAAAGCGUGGGGAUCAAACAGGAUUAGAUACCCGCGUAGUCCCUGUCUCUUAUACA
rnacentral:rRNA from 1 species